rnacentral:tRNA from 1 species
AGCGCGGUAGUGAAACGGAAUCACCCUGGUUUCAUAAGCCAGUUUUACGGGUUCGAAUCCCGUCUGCGCCA